AUUUUUGCGCUUGGGGCAAUGACGCAGCUAGUGAGGUAAUAACCGUGGUGCAUCAAUUGUUGGUUGAAAACUAUUUCCAAGCCCCCUCUUCGGGCUAGGCCAAACCCAGGCCGUCAAGAAUUUCUGGAGGCUCCCCUCUAGG